AGUGAACGCUGGCGGUAGGCCUAACACAUGCAAGUCGAACGGCAGCACAGUAAGAGCUUGCUCUUACGGGUGGCGAGUGGCGGACGGGUGAGGAAUACAUCGGAAUCUACUUUUUCGUGGGGGAUAACGUAGGGAAACUUACGCUAAUACCGCAUACGACCUACGGGUGAAAGCAGGGGAUCUUCGGACCUUGCGCGAUUGAAUGAGCCGAUGUCGGAUUAGCUAGUUGGCGGGGUAAAGGCCCACCAAGGCGACGAUCCGUAGCUGGUCUGAGAGGAUGAUCGGCCAAACUGGAACUGAGACACGGUCCAGACUCCUACGGGAGGCAGCAGUGGGGAAUAUUGGACAAUGGGCGCAAGCCUGAUCCAGCCAUACCGCGUGGGUGAAGAAGGCCUUCGGGUUGUAAAGCCCUUUUGUUGGGAAAGAAAAGCAGCAGGUUAAUACCCCGCUGUUCUGACGGUACCCAAAGAAUAAGCACCGGCUAACUUCGUG
rnacentral:rRNA from 1 species